rnacentral:rRNA from 1 species
CCUACGGGUGGCAGCAGUGGGGGAUAUUGCACAAUGGGGGGAACCCUGAUGCAGCGACGCCGCGUGGGUGAAGGAGUGCUUCGGUAUGUAAAGCUCUAUCAGCAGGGAAGAAGAAAGACGGUACCUGACUAAGAAGCCCCGGCUAACUACGUGCCAGCAGCCGCGGUAAUACGUAGGGGGCAAGCGUUAUCCGGAUUUACUGGGUGUAAAGGGAGCGUAGACGGCUGUGCAAGUCUGAAGUGAAAGCCCGUGGCUCAACCGCGGAACUGCUUUGGAAACUGUAUAGCUUGAGUACUGGAGAGGCAGGCGGAAUUCCUAGUGUAGCGGUGAAAUCCGUAGAUAUCUGGAGGAACAUCGGUGGCGAAGGCGACUAUCUGGCACAUAACUGACGCUGAGGAGCGAAAGCGUGGGUAGCAAACAGGAUUAGAUACCCGGGUAGUC